CAGUACUUGGUGUAAAAUGGCGGGGGUGGAUUUUGCACAUUGCUUUAUUUACAAUCUUUUAUUCAUUACUCUUAUCCGGUAUUGCCGUUGAAAUACUGUUACAUAAACUACAUUAAAUAUAGAUAUCUUUUUUUCGUCCAUAAUAAUAAACGUACCUUAAAGUUGGAUAACCCCGGAUGCUUUGUGAAUGGUAUAGACCACACUGUAAGGACAUGUUCAGAAAUUUGGCGCUGAAGACUUGUUCCUGAAGUAAAUAAGUUUUGAGAAAUGUAGCUGUAGCCGUACGUAGCGGUGCUGAAAGUGGCUAUUUAAGUAAAAUUUCAACGUGUGUCUUGAUUGCUGCCAUUUUUUUAAACAAUAAUUAUGUUUCCCGCCAGAGAAACAUGGCUGUAGUAGCAGUUUGAUAUUAGUAACAUGUUAAACUUUUAUACGAUUUGCGUUUUGAACGUAAAACACACCAGAACCUGAAUCAUUUGAACCUAAUUAUUUGCAUUUCGAUCGUAAACUCCUCAAUAUCUUUCCUGCGAAAGUUCGUCUUUGAAAUCAUGGUGGGGUUGCUUUCAUUUUUAUUUGUACUUGUUUCUCGCUGACAGUCCAAAAAAGCCAUGCCACUUGAAAGUUUCCGUAGAAUCAUAUACUGCUGAUACGUUUUUGAAGACAGAAUCACUUUGCUGACAGUUGCUUGUCUUAAGAUGGUGGAAAAAACAUUUACCUUCCAAAUCACUGGGAUCAAAAACCCACAAAUAAAAGGAAAACUACUCAGAGGAAUUCAUAAGUUGGGCGGAAGCUAUAUUGGUGGCUCUAUCUAUAAAGGUCGAUCUACUCAUCUGAUUGCCCCUUGUGCUCUGGCCAGUGAAAAGUUCCUGGCUGCUUGUGCAGGUGGGAAGUGGAUCGUCACUCCGCAGUAUGUGCUAGACAGUGUGAGGAAUGGGAUGUGGCUGCCUGAAGUGGCCUACGAGCUGGAUUUCAUUAGUCAGCCUCCUGAGGCCACCAGACCCAUCCGGAUGUGGAGAACCAGGGUGGCCAGUGGAAGUAUUUCCGGUGCCUUCCAGGGCUGGAGAGCUGUCCUGCUCAUGGAUGACUGCAAGAGGAGGGAUAUUUUUGAACGGAUCUUGAUGGCAGGAGGUGCCAGGAUUUCCUCAUGCCCAUCUGAUCAGUCUGUGACGCAUGUGUUUACGGGUAACAUUACCACAGACUCUAAGACUGGUGCCCCGUGCUACUUGUUGGAUUACAUUGCUCAACAUUUACUUGGGAGCCCAUGGCCUGUGAUUUCAGAAGUGCUAUCCAGCUCUCCAAUGGAUAAUACACAGCUUUUCUCCGAAUUAGAAAUUCAGCUGAAAGAUUACGUUUCAAAACUUGUGCUCCCCGAAAGGCUUGUUUCCAUAGAUUAUGUGAGCCACACAUCUACAGGACAUCCGCCUCAGAGUACCGUGGUGGAUUUCAGCAAUGUGCACAGCCUUAUCGAAUGUGGUCUCCUCACAGAGGCUUUAGAGGAAAUUCAGGGAAUGCUACACCCUGGAGUCCUUCCAUCACCACAAUACAUGUGCGCCCUGAUGCAUCAUGCUCUGCAGGGUGAAGUUAAGCCGUACUUUUUCAGCACCUUUAUCAAUAUUUUGCACAACAUCCUACGCAACAAUCCCACUUGGGGGUCGCCCACUGUGGUGAAGUAUUUUCUGCACAUCCUGCAGUGCCCUCAGUGUAAGGGAGGAACCUGGGCCCUCCUGGAGACAUCAGUGAGGUGGUGCAUGUCCAGCGGGGGCUGCUGUCACCUGCUUCCUGGCUCACCUUCCCCAGAGCUGAUCAGGUUCCUCUGUGACCUGCAGGCUUUUCUACUCACAAUCUUCCGGCAUGAGCUCUUUGCCUCCAGCAAAGGGCAAUCUGGAGGGUCACGGUCUUCUGUUCUACUUCGUACAUUUUGGAACAUUUGGCAGAGAUCCACUCUUGGUAGCAGGACAGUCCAGCAACUGGCAGGGUUGCUGAUCCAUUCUACCAGCUGUGCUCUGUCAUCUACUGAGGACUGGACGCAUCGACUUCUGUGUACUUUGCAUGACACCUUGGCUGUGGUGGUGGAGUACUGGUGUCAGGAAUACAGUAAACUAAAUAAAAGCUUGCUGGAUAAGGGCAUGGAGGAUCUGGCCGAGCACAUUUCCAUACUAUGCCAAGACCAACCUCCGGAAUUUUUACUGGAGUUUGUUCACAACAUGCCUUCACUGAGACUGAAGAUGGUCACUGCUGAUUCCAUAUACAGGAGUAUGUGCUGCAGAAACGCUGUUUCUGUGGGAACAGAACCUCUAACCCUACGAAAAAUUGUCUCCAGCUAUCUGCCUGCCCUGGGGAGACUCUGUGAACGUAAGCCGGCCGGGGCUGGGGGCCCGUGUGUGGCGGGGGCGCCUGCCAGGCCAGGAGGCGAAGUCCACACUGCCAGCUGCGCCGGCGUGGCACCAGCCGCCCUGCCAGGGGCUUCGGGUCUGGACAAGAAGACGGUGCCCAAAGGACUUCACAGAGUCAACGCUGCAGGCGAGUUACUCAUCCACCGAAUUUGCAAGAGGAACCAAGUGGAUAUGCUGCUGAAUGUCCUUUCACUUCCGGGAACAGAUGUCAACGUCAAAGAUUACGCCGGCUGGACUCCCCUGCAUGAAGCGUGUAACCAUGGCAGCAGUGCAUGCGUGCAAGCCCUCUUACAGUAUUGUCCCAACCUCCACCUGGAUGUCCAAGUAGGCGGAGUCAGCCCCCUGCAUGACGCCCUCCUUAAUGGCCAUGUUGAUAUCGCCAAGAUGCUGCUACAGUAUGCAGGUUCCCCUCUCCUGGAGCUGCGGGAUGGGCAGGGCAGGACUCCGCUGGACGUGGUCUCCCCAGCCCUGCAGAAGGAGCUCAGGAGAUGGGCCCAGGAUGGGGACUCCGCGCAGUAUGCCCAGGAUGUGCGCAUCAUAGACCCCCUACUGCUGGAGGCCUGCUCCUGCCUGCUGAGAUGCCUGCUGCUGAGUUACGUGCUGGUGCGGAACGUCCCGUCCUAUGAGGCGUCGGCUAGCCCUCGAGGCACCAUUCCGCGCUUGGCCCAGGCUCUGGCUGCCCACUCUGCCCGACGGGUGACCGCUGCCUGGGGAGACCCCAUCUUGGUGCACCUGGCCGAGGACCUGGAGACACUGCUGGGGCUGAGACGGCACCCACCCAGAUUGCCUGACGUGGUGAUGCAGUUUCAGGGGACCCAAACACGUCUUCUCCUGCUCCAGCUGGAAGUGCUGGAGGCUGAUGUGGCAGAGCUUCUGGGGACCCAGGACAGCUGCGAUUCCCCGGGUUAGCUAUGAUGGUCCUUCCCCUUUAAACCGCAGCCUGGCUGUCAGUCAUAGUACCAGCCAUCUACUCUACUAGGUCACCCCAACUCACAGUUACAAACGGUCAUGAAAGGACUAAGUUACGUUUCCUGUUCGAAUAGUUUCAGAAGUUAUACUAGAAUAAUUAUAAGCCUUCUGCAGAGUAAUGCCCUCUAGGACCAGAAUUCAAAAACACAAUGCCAAAAGUAAAAAAAAAAUCAAAGAUUUCCUUUCUUGAAAAUAGAACAUACCCUUUGGACAAGUUUUCAAACAGUAACAGAUGGUGUUUUUGAAUAUCUUAGUCAACCUGCAGACAAGGUGAAUUAACACUAAAUAUUUUUAUGUAGCCUGAUUGGCUAUACAGUGGCUCAUUUAGUGGUAUUGUUGUGUCACACCUCCUGGGCUGUAGGUUCGAGUCCUACCUUUCUUCUGUGUGUAGUGUGUGCCUCUUCUUCCUGAGUUGCACAGGUUUUCUUCCUGCUCUCUAAAUACAUGCAGUCUCUUAAUUGACCAAUGAGUGUAUAUGUAUGUGCCAUGUUGAGCUAACCUACCAUUGAGCGUGUGUGUGCUGUGUUGAGUUGACCUACCAUUGAGCGUGUGUGUGCUGUGUUGAGCUGACCUACCAUUGAGCGUGUGUGUGCUGUGUUGAGCUGACCUACCAUUGAGCGUGUGUGUGCUGUGUUGAGCUGACCUGCCAUUGAGUGUGUAGGUGCUGUGUUGAGCUGACCUGCCAUUAAGUAGAAGUAGCCUAGCAGGGUAGGGCACCAUCUAGAGAAUGUAACACUUUCCUAAUCUCACACUUCAUGCUUUUUACAUAUCGGCUUAUGUAAAGAAAUCUCACAAUGUAGUCCUGAGUUUCCAAAAAAAAGAGAAAAUAUGUAUAUCGGUAUAGAGUUUGGUUAUUCAAUAAAGCGAGGCUACAGAGAUAUAACACUUACCUUUAUACUGUGUAACAAACCAGAAUAUGUAGUACACCGUUUUUUAGUUAUCUUGUUUCCCUCACACUUUAACUUAAAUGGUAUUUUCAUGUAUUGCAGCAAAGGAGCACAAGUAAAAGCAUAGAUGAGCUUUAUAGAAUAUCAGCAGCUGUAUGCUUAUAUUGAGGCAAGAGAGACCUGCCUCAACUGAGACAGUAUUUUCUACAAAAAGCUCAAGAAUAAGUCAGCAGUGCUUACGAAUCUGACCUUGGCAUAUACAGUCAUCAUCAGUGGUCUGCUGUGUGCAGUCCUGCCAUCGGAGUAGACAGAGAUGGAGGACACUGAUCUGGAUGCCAUGUGAGGUUAAUGAGGAGAGCCCCUCGCUUCUGGCAGCCCGCAGAAUGUCAGUCUGGGUUUGGGGCACCAUGCAGUAACAUUGAAGAAUAGCCAGUUGCCUGAGAGAACCUUUUUGACUUCAGGAGAGAUUAUUAGAACCCUAGUACUGCUGUGUCCUCUCUGCCUGUCAGAGAAAGAGCAAUGGGGAAUGUGCAGACCUAAGUAAUAAGCAAGUGUUCUUGACCUCGUUUUGUGGUGGGGCGCUCCCCUUUAAAGGGGGCUUGUGUCGAAUGUGAAUCCGAGUGAUUGUGGUAUUGUUUUGUUCUGACGAAUGCAGCGUGGACAAAUCAUAAAUUAUGACUUGACAGGGGUUUGGACAUUUGACUUGUAGACUUUAAACAGACCUAAUGGCAUAAAAUGAGUCACGGGUCUUUCACGGGCAUGAAGGACUUACUGCUGCACUGCAUCACCUCCACCUGCACCUGGCGUCUGUGUUAAAGAUGUGGCACUACUGCCAUUUCCUCUUUAACAUUAUCGAAGGCAUGGUAGAACAGGAAAUGUUCUCUGAUCUUCUACAAGCUUCAGGUCACUCAUGUGCAGCAAUCAAAGUCAACAAGAUGCAAUGCAAUCGUGUAUUUUUGCAUUAAAAAUCAGUUUUAUUAAUUUAA